rnacentral:lncRNA from 1 species
GUGAAUUUAGAGGUCGAAAGACGACCUUCCUCUUCACCAUCUUUCUGACCUCCGAUUGGAGUUCCUCUGGCCGCUUCACCGCAGGCUCUGGCUUCCUUUUCUCCAGGUACCUUUCUAUGGAGAGAUUAUGGACGUUUGCUGGUGAUGGUGGAUGGCGUGUGAGGCUCAGCUUAAGCACUUUUGGACUAACUCUGAAAACAAGAACCUGUACUGGUAAGUUUAUUGUCAGUUUGACAUAAAUUGACUUGUCUGAGAAGAAACCUCAGUUAUGGAAACACCUCCAUCAGAUUUGCCUGUAGGAAAUUCUGUGUGGGCAUUUUAUUAAUUAAUAAUCGUGUGGACCUUGGAGGUAUAAACGUGGUGGUUUGAAUAGGUAUGGCCCCCGUAGACUCAUGUGUUUGAAUGUGGCACUAUUAGGAGGUGUGGCCUUGUUGGAGUGGGUGUGGCCUUGGAGGAAGUGGGGGAGGGCUUGAGGUCUCUUCUGCUCGAGCUCUGCACAGUGUGGAGCAUAGUCUCCUUCUGUUGCCUUUGGAUCGAGAUGUAGAACUCUCAGCUCCUCCAGCACCACGUCUGCCUGAGCGCCACCCUGCUCCCCACUAAACCUCUGAAACUGUAAGCCAGCCCCUAGUAAGUAUUUCCUUUAUAAGAGUUGCCAUGGUCAUGGUAUCUCUUCAUAGCAAUACAAUUUAAAUUAAGACAAUAAGAAAAUAAACUAAGCAAGCCAUGGGAAGCACACCAAUAAGCAGGGUUCCUCCAUGGUCUCUGCUUCAACUCCUGCCUCCCAGUUCCUGCCCUGACAUUUUUCAGUGAUGGCAUGUGUAAGCAAGAUAAACCCUUCUCUCUUCCAACUUGCCUUUGGUCAUGGGUUUAAUCAUAGCAACAGAGAACCUUGUUAGGACAGAACAUAAUUUCCAGCCCGGAAUAUCUUUUCCAUAAACUGACUUACUGGGUGUGAUGGUGUGCCUGUGGUCCCAGCACUUGGGAGGCUGAGGCAGGAGAACCACCAGGUUUGGAGUCUAGUUCACUUAUAGCUUCUUGCUUAGUAUGCUCAAGGCUUGCAUUUGGUUCUAGAGUGCAUGCACACACACACACACACACACACACACACACACACACACACACACACUCACAGCAAAACAAAAUCCAAUAGCUUUAGAAGAGAGCUACCAUUGAUGAUAUAUUCUGGAGGGACCAGUGGAUGGGUGAAUAGUCUGUCUGGCAUCUGAAGAAGAAGCUGGUCCUAUCCUUGUCCUAUCCUUGCAAUGGACAAAACAAACCUGCCCACCUUUCAAAGUUCUGCUCAAGUUCCCUUCCCUCAAGGACCUCAGCUAAAUGCUGCCUGCCCAGAGCUUCCCUUACCGACGGCACGUCACAAGCAUACAUCAUGGGAAUGAUGAAUAGAGUAGACACACAGCAAAACAGUACAUGUGGGUCAGAACACAUGUGAGGCCUGGUUCCAUCCCCAGCAUCAUAAACAGAAAGUAUUGUAUUCAGCAGGCAGUGAGACAAUGUAACUUUUUUUUUUUGAGACACGAUUUCAUGCAGUCUAGACUGGCCUUGAACUCACUGUGUACCCUAAGAUGACCCUGGCCUUCCUCUGCCCCCACCCCCAAGUGCUGAGACUACAGGCAUGUACCUCCCUCCAGGCUGCAUUCAUGUGGUGUUGGGGAUCAAGCCUGGGGCUUGAAGCAUAGGCAAGCACUCUCCCAGGCUGAGCUAUAUAUCCCAGUCCUCACCCCUGGGCUGCUUCUUUUAAUGCUACUGAAUUGCGUGAGAGGCUUAGACCCUCAGGAGUUCUGGUUCAGCCACAGGGUAUGCAGGGGUGUGUGGCAAAGCACCUGCUUAGCUUGAUACUUGAGACCCUAUUGAAAUGAAGACAACAGAGUUGUGAGGGACAGGGAAGGAUCAUCUCAAAUGACCCAUCUCAGCCCAUCCUCAGAGGUGGAAAGCUGAUAUCUGAGAGCAGCCAGAUGACAGGAACAGAGGAGCCGAAGCCUUCCAUAUACGUAGGAGCUGGAGACAUGGGGCCAGAGGACCAGUCGAUGGUCUUUAAGUAUGGCAUGGGUGUCAUCUCCGCCCCUCCUGUUCACACUCAUGUACUUUCUUUAUGCUACUAUAGAUGUGAGAUUCUCUCCCUGGAAUGCUCCCGGGAGCACAGCAUCCCUUAGGAGCUCAGGGUGGUAUGAUGCAGAGUGG